GUGGGGAAUAUUGGACAAUGGGCGCAAGCCUGAUCCAGCCAUGCCGCGUGAGUGAUGAAGGCCUUAGGGUUGUAAAGCUCUUUCAGUAGGGAAGAUAAUGACGGUACCUACAGAAGAAGCCCCGGCUAACUUCGUGCCAGCAGCCGCGGUAAUACGAAGGGGGCUAGCGUUGUUCGGAUUUACUGGGCGUAAAGCGCACGUAGGCGGAUUGGUCAGUUAGAGGUGAAAUCCCGAAGCUCAACUUCGGAACUGCCUUUAAUACUGCCAGUCUCGAGUCCGGAAGAGGUGAGUGGAACUCCUAGUGUAGAGGUUGAUUUCGUAGAUAUUAGGAAGAACACCAGUGGCGAAGGCGGCUCACUGGUCCGGUACUGACGCUGAGGUGCGAAAGCGUGGGGAGCAAACAGGAUUAGAAACCCGAGUAGUCC
rnacentral:rRNA from 1 species